UACAGAGGGGGCAAGCGUUGUUCGGAAUUACUGGGCGUAAAGGGCGCGUAGGCGGCCUGCUAAGUCGAACGUGAAAUCCCCGAGCUCAACUCGGGAACUGCGUCCGAUACUGACAGGCUUGAAUCCGGGAGAGGGAUGCGGAAUUCCAGGUGUAGCGGUGAAAUGUGUAGAGAUCGGGAGGAACACCGGUGGCGAAGGCGGGUCUCUGGGCAUCUCCUGACGCUGAGGCGCGAAAGCGUGGGGAGCAAACGGG
rnacentral:rRNA from 1 species